ACCAGAGGAAUCAAAUUCAUAGAGACAGAAGUAGAAUGGUGGCUGCUCGGGGGUGGGGCGGGGGAAUGGAGAGUUAAUGCACAAUGAAGACAGAGUUUCAGUUUGGGAAGGUGAAAAAAUUUUGGAGAUAGGCCAGGUGUGGUGGCUCACGCCUGUAAUCCCAGCACGGUGAGAGGCUGAGGCGUGCAGAUACCUGAGGUCAGGAGGUCAAGACCAACCUGGCCAACAUGGUGAAAUCCUGUCUCUUCUAAAAAUACAAAAAUUAGCUGGAUGUGGUGAUGCGUGCCUAUAGUCCCAGCUCUUCGGGAGGCUGAGGCAGGAGAAUUGCAGUGAGCCGAGAUCGCGCCACUGCACUCUAGCCUGGAUGACAGAGUGAGACUCCAUCUAAAAAAAAAAGCAAAAAGUGCCACGAGCUGAGUGUCCUCUAAUUUAAUUCAAUUCUAGCAUUAUCUACCUGGAGAUAGUGCCAGAUCCCACAGGUUAAGGGCUCAGUCCUACAAGACUGCCUCCCACUUCUGAUGCCAAUCAAGCCCCAGGUUGUGACCUGUGUUUCUGACUGACCAGCUAUCAUUUGGGGUUUCCACAACUCCCUCUUUGGGUUCGAUUAAUUUGCUAGAGCUGCUCACAGAACUCAAGAAAAUAAUUAUGUAUACCCAUUUAUCAUAAAGGAUAUUACAAUGGAUACAGAUGAACAGCCAGAUGAAAGAAACAAAUAGGGUGAGGUAUGGGAGAAGGGGUGCAGAGCUUCUAGGCAUGCCACCCUCCAGGAACCUCCUUGUGUUCAGCUAUCUGGAAGCUCCCCAAACCCAGUCCUGUUGGGUUUUCACUACAUAGGCAUGAUUGAUCACAUCGUUGGCCAUUGGUAAUCAACUCAACCUUCAGUCCCUCUCCCCUGUGGAAGUAGCUUGGGGCAGCACUGAAUGUCCCAGCUCUCAGAUCUUGCCUUGGUCUUUCUGAUGACCUACCCCAUCCUCGGGGUCCCCAGCCAUCAGUCACUCAUUAGCAUACUAAAGACGCUGUUAACCACUCUGAAGAUUCCAAGGGUUUAGGGGCUAUAUGUCAGGAAACAGGGAUGAAGACCAAAUAUCUAUUUCUCAAUAUCACAAGGCGACUCCUUCUCACUGCUCUCCCCAUCAUCCAAGAACCAGAUGACAAGGACAGGAAAAUAAAGAAAGCUCC
rnacentral:lncRNA from 10 species